rnacentral:rRNA from 1 species
UACGAAGGGGGCUAGCGUUGCUCGGAAUUACUGGGCGUAAAGCGCACGUAGGCGGCUUUCUAAGUCGGGGGUGAAAUCCUGGAGCUCAACUCCAGAACUGCCUUUGAUACUGGGGAUCUCGAGUCCGGGAGAGGUGAGUGGAACUCCGAGUGUAGAGGUGAAAUUCGUAGAUAUUCGGAGGAACACCAGUGGCGAAGGCGGCUCACUGGCCCGAUACUGACGCUGAGGCACGAAAGCGUGGGGAGCAAACAGG